rnacentral:rRNA from 1 species
CAGUAGCCGCGGUAAUACGUAGGGUGCAAGCGUUAAUCGGAAUUACUGGGCGUAAAGCGUGCGUAGGCGGUUUGUUAAGACAGAUGUGAAAUCCCCGGGCUCAACCUGGGAACUGCAUUUGUGACUGGCAAGCUAGAGUGUGGCAGAGGGGGGUGGAAUUCCGCGUGUAGCAGUGAAAUGCGUAGAUAUGCGGAAGAACACCGGUGGCGAAGGCGGCAACCUGGCUCAUUACUGACGCUGAGGCGCGAAAGCGUGGGGAGCAAACAGGAUUAGAUACCCCUGUAGUCCCUGUCUCUUAUAC